rnacentral:rRNA from 1 species
CACACAAAUUAAUCAUGUUUGAUUGGCUUAAUAGAAAAUUAAAGUUAAGGUAAGAAUUCUUUAAUUACUUAGGGGACGAUAAGACCCUAGAAGCUUUAAAAAAUUAAAAUUAUUAUAAAAAAGAGUGUUUUUUUACUGGGGCGGUAGCAGUAUUUAAUCUAUUGUUAUUUUGGUUGAUCCUUAAUAUAAAGAUAUAACGGUUAAGUUACUCUAGGGAUAACAGUGCAAUAUUUUUGGAUAGGCCAUAUUGAUAAAAAUGUUUGCAACCUCGAUGUUGAAUUAAGAUGUCUAUAUAAAGAAGCAGGUAUAAUAGAAGGUUUGUUCAACCUUUAUAGUUUUACAUGAUUUGAGUUCAAACCG